rnacentral:rRNA from 1 species
UACGUAGGGUGCGAGCGUUGUCCGGAAUUAUUGGGCGUAAAGGGUGCGUAGGCGGUUUGGUAAGUCUGAUGUGAAAUCUCUGGGCUCAACUCAGAGUCUGCUGUGGAACUGCCGUGCUAGAGUGUGGGAGAGGUGAGUGGAAUUCCGGUGUAGCGGUGAAAUGCGUAGAUAUCGGGAGGAACACCUGUGGCGAAAGCGGCUCACUGGACCACAACUGACGCUGAGGCG